rnacentral:lncRNA from 1 species
CCUCAAGCUCCCAUGGGGUUCAGCCAAUGAAGAUAAGAAGAAAGAGAGAUUGAGGUCAUCCAGUGAUACUGAUGAAAUAUUCCACCGGAGGGAGAAUUAAAUCCCUGUCUAGCCUCCUUGCCCGCAGGAAGUUGACGGAAGAGGGAUUGACCUGAAGGAUCAAGGGGUAUGCAGUCCAAGUGGGAAUGUAACAUGCAUGAGCGUGGCUGGAAAAUUGGGAUCGAGACAAGCUGUGUAGAAGAGCACACUUCUCAGUUUGGCAAGCUGCGACAGGUCGAACCGGGCACAGAGAGAUUUGCACAGGUCCUGAUAAGAAACGGUAUUUUGCUUGCUGUCCAGUUCCUCCAAGAUCUUCACCAAGAAGAGGGAAGUUUCCUGACUGGUCUCCAUGAUUUAUUACUUGAAGAGCUCUCAGACUACACUGAAACUUCAGGUCAGUUCUGUG